rnacentral:lncRNA from 1 species
GGAUGCAGGGCUGCACUGGCAGCCAGGCCACCUCAGAUGGCGGUGACCUGUGCACCUGCUCCCGGGAUACUCAGACUGCUAAGAGGACACUGAUGUGUGCUUUCAUUUUUAUGGCCCAAGCCACAGAAAUAAUUACAGCUGUUUUUUUCUUUUUCUGAGAAGAGGCUCUGUGUGUUUGCAAAAGAACAAUGUGACUGCAAGAUCCAGCUCCCUGAGUCCUGAGAGCGUAGGGCCUCAGCUGCCCAGUCUUGCAGUCCUGGAAUCAGGCUGUGUCCUCCUGUCUCAGCCUGCCUUUUCCUAUGCUGCACACACUGGCGCAUGCGUGCACACUGUCUCACACCCUCCCCUUUCCCCUCCUCUGCUGUGUGUCCUGCCUUCCUGGUGACCUGUGCCCUGCGCUCAGAUGCAGCAGCCCUACAAGGAGGGCAGCCAAGAGUGAGGAGCGGCGGGAAACCAUGGGCAACGCCGUCCUGCGGGCACUUGGUUGCAUGGGAAAGAAUCAGAAGAAGAACAGGAAGGAGAACCGAGGUGUGAAAAGGAAACGGUGAGGAAGUCUCCCUCCGAGAUCUUGUCCAGGCCCCUCCAGACCCUCCGCCCCUUGAGUGCUUAGGCUUUAGCACCGCAGU